rnacentral:rRNA from 1 species
UAACCUGCCCAAGAGAUCGGGAUAACACCUGGAAACAGAUGCUAAUACCGGAUAACAACAGAUGAUGCCUAUCAACUGUUUAAAAGAUGGUUCUGCUAUCACUCUUGGAUGGACCUGCGGUGCAUUAGCUAGUUGGUAGGGUAACGGCCUACCAAGGCGAUGAUGCAUAGCCGAGUUGAGAGACUGAUCGGCCACAUUGGGACUGAGACACGGCCCAAACUCCUACAGGAGGCAGCAGCC